UUCCGGUUGAUCCUGCCGGAGGAUACUGCUAUUCGGAUUCGACUAAGCCAUGCAAGUUGAGAGUCUUCGGGACUCGACGUACUGCUCAGUAAUAUAUAGUUAACCUAACCUAAGAUCAGGGAUAAUCUCGAGAAAUUGAGGCUAAUACCUGAUAGACAUUUUGGUCUGGAAUGAUAGAAUGUCGAAAGAUCCGUCGUCUUAGGAUGGGACUGUACGUUAUCAGCCUGUUGGGGGUGUAAUGUACCCCCAAAGCUAUAACGACUACGGGCCAUGAGGGUGGGAACCCGGAGAUGGAUUCUGAGACAUGAAUCCAGGUCCUACGGGACGCAGCAGGUGCGAAACCUUCACUAUGCAUUAACGUGCGAUGAGGGAAUCUGAAGUGCUAUAGCUUUGCUAUAGCUUUUUUUGAGUUAAAAGAGCUCGGAGAAUAAGGGGUGGGUAAGACAAGUGCCAGCCGCCGCGGUAAUACUUGCGCCCCGAGUGGUAUCCGGUAUUAGUUGGUCUAAAGCGUCCGUAGCCGGUUUUGUUAGUCCUUAGUGAAAUCUACUGGAAAACUGGUAGGCUUGCUGGGGAUACUGCAAAACUUGGGAUCGGGAGAGGACAGAGGUACUGCUGGGGAAGGGGUAAAAUCCUAUAAUCCCAGUGGGACCACCUGUGGCGAAGGCGUCUGUCUAGAACGAGUCCGACGGUGAGGGACGAAACCUAGGGUAGCGAUCGGGAUUAGAUACCCCGGUAGUCCUAGGCGUAAACGAUGCCCACUUGGUGUUACAAACCUUACGAGGGUUUGUAGUGUCGGAGCGUAGGUGUUAAGUGGGCCACCUGGGGGAUACGACCGCAAGGGUGAAACUUAAGGGAAUUGGCGGGGG
rnacentral:rRNA from 1 species